rnacentral:rRNA from 1 species
GACGAACGCUGGCGGCGUGCUUAACACAUGCAAGUCGAACGAAGAGCGAUGGAAGCUUGCUUCUAUCAAUCUUAGUGGCGAACGGGUGAGUAACGCGUAAUCAACCUGCCCUUCAGAGGGGGACAACAGUUGGAAACGACUGCUAAUACCGCAUACGAUCUAAUCUCGGCAUCGAGGAUAGAUGAAAGGUGGCCUCUACAUGUAAGCUAUCACUGCAGGAGGGGAUUGCGUCUGAUUAGCUAGUUGGGGGGGUAACGGCCCACCAAGGCGAUGAUCAGUAGCCGGUCGGAGAGGAGGAACGGCCACAUUGGGACUGAGACACGGCCCAGACUCCUACGGGAGGCAGCAGUGGGGAAUCUUCCGCAAUGGACGAAAGUCUGACGGAGCAACGCCGCGUGAGCGAUGACGGCCUUCGGGUUGUAAAGCUCUGUUAAUCGGGACGAAAGGCCUUCUUGCGAAUAGGGAGAAGGAUUGACGGUACCGGAAUAGAAAGCCACGGCUAACUACGUG